rnacentral:lncRNA from 1 species
ACAUUGAAAACAAUCUGGUCUAUUAUUUGUAUCUGUGUUGUUCAAUAACAAUGAGUUCACCACCUCAACGCAGGAACGAUUAUGAGAAAGAGCAUGAUAGCACAUGCAAUCAUUUGGGCUACAAAAACAAAUGUCCUUCCCAAAAUGGUUCGCGCUCUAGCCCUCCCCAAAAUGUUGAUAUAGGAGGUAGUUUGGGCUAUAGGCAAGAUCCUGCAGGGAAAACGGGUUCUAAGGGUAACCAAAGCAAAAGUCAACGAAAUUAAGAGAAUACGAAAUGAAAAACAGGUUUAUUCAUAGGGGGAACUUAUGUGCAUGUUGGAAGAAAUUUCACAAAAAGUUCUACUAUUGGUUAAAGAUUGAAUGUUUAUUUUCAACUUGUUUAGAUUAUUGUAGUGUUUAGGAAUAAGAUAUUGUAAAUUUGAAGAACUACAUGUUCAUUGUGAGUCAUAAAUAAGUCUAUAUGUUUAUUUGUAAGUAGGGUGUAUAAUUUGGAUUGACAAGUCUUUCUUCUUUUCUACAUAAAUUUGUAUUUGAUGAUUUAUUAGAAAAGUUGCAUAUUAUAAUCACCAA